UGACGGGUAGUGUAACGGUAGCACAGCAGAUUCUGGAUCUGCUUGUCAAGGUUCAAAUCCUUGCCCGUCAGCCA
rnacentral:tRNA from 1 species